AUUGAACGCUGGCGGCAUGCUUUACACAUGCAAGUCGAACGGUAACAGGUUAAGCUGACGAGUGGCGAACGGGUGAGUAAUGCAUCGGAACGUGCCCGAUCGUGGGGGAUAACGCAGCGAAAGCUGCGCUAAUACCGCAUACGAUCUGAGGAUGAAAGCGGGGGACCGUAAGGCCUCGCGCGAUCGGAGCGGCCGAUGUCAGUUUAGGUAGUGGGUGGGGUAAAGGCUCACCAAGCCAACGAUCUGUAGCUGGUCUGAGAGGACGACCAGCCACACUGGGACUGAGACACGGCCCAGACUCCUACGGGAGGCAGCAGUGGGGAAUUUUGGACAAUGGGCGAAAGCCUGAUCCAGCAAUGCCGCGUGCAAGAAGAAGGCCUUCGGGAUGUAAACUGCUUUUGUACGGAGCGAAAAGGCCCUCUCUAAUACAGUGGGCGCAUGACGGUACCGUAAGAAUAAGCACCGGCUAACUACGUGCCAGCAGCCGCCGUAACAC
rnacentral:rRNA from 1 species